ACGAACGCUGGCGGCGUGCCUAAUACAUGCCAGUCGCGCGGACGAUUCGAAAGCUUGCUUUUGAAUCGUUAGCGGCGGACGGGUGAGUAACACGUGGGCAACCUGCCCUGUAGACGGGGAUAACACCGAGAAAUCGGUGCUAAUACCGGAUAACACGAAAUGUCGCAUGACGUUUCGUUGAAAGGCGGCGCAAGCUGCCGCUACAGGAUGGGCCCGCGGCGCAUUAGCUAGUUGGUGAGGUAACGGCUCACCAAGGCGACGAUGCGUAGCCGACCUGAGAGGGUGAUCGGCCACACUGGGACUGAGACACGGCCCAGACUCCUACGGGAGGCAGCAGUAGGGAAUCUUCCGCAAUGGACGAAAGUCUGACGGAGCAACGCCGCGUGAGCGAAGAAGGCCUUCGGGUCGUAAAGCUCUGUUGUUAGGGAAGAACAAGUAACGUAGUAACUGACGUUACUAUGACGGUACCUAACGAGAAAGCCACGGCUAACUACGUG
rnacentral:rRNA from 1 species